CAAACAGAUUAUAUUAUAGAAAAAGACAGUUCUAUUGGAGAUGGAUUUCACCCAUUCCAAAUCCGGUUAAAGGAUCCAGUCUAAUAGCUCAAAGGUACACUAAGAAGACAAGAAAGCAAGUAAGAGUUAAGGCUCGUCCGAAAUCGGAUGAGAGUCAUUACCGACUUGACCUAGUCAACACAAAAUGUAAAGAAGAUUAGAGCAUUAAAGGAGGGUAUUAUAUAUGCUCGGCGUUACGAUUCUCACCCAGUCAAGCCAUAAGAAAGGACACAAACGAAGGAAAAGGGUGGAGGACCCAAGCUUCAGACAUCAAAAAUAUACCCAUUUUAAACCCAAAUCCAUUUGUACUCAAAAACUCUCUCUUUAUCAUUGAUGUAUCAAGAAUCAUUAUCAAUAAGAAAUACUAUUAUACCUUGAAAUCAUUCACAAAUAGUUAAUUUACUCAUUACACUCUAUAUUUAGAUUAAACCCUCAUCCUAAUUUAUUAGAGGAUCUUGUGAUCCUUUAUUUAGCACUAGAAGGAGGAUAAAUUAACACAAAAUAAUUAAACUUUUGAAGAUCUUACGUGAAACGAACAUCACAGUGAUUGGAGUAGAUGCAUUUGGUUUGGCCGGAGAAGGAAACCUCUCUGGUUCCAUCCCGCAUAAUGCAGUGCAGCAGCUCAACGCAUAAGGAAAAUCCAUCACCACGCGGCUCCGGCAGCACCAACCAACCUGCUGAUUUACGAAAUGUGUUCUCUAUUUUGAUUCAAUGUGCAGGUUAGGUGGAUGUAAUGCUACAUCAAGCUCUAUAAUGCUUGGAGCAGCACUAUAAAGUUGAAUCCCUUAAUUUACUUCAAUCAAAAUCCCUCAAUCAAAUCCGAUAAUAAAUAUGUUAAAACCGGAAUCUCGAACUGGGCAUCGGAAUAAACAGACCAAAGGUCUCAAACACCAAUUCAAAUCGGAUUCAAUACCCAACUCGCCUGACAACCUGAUACACAUCGGACUCCAGGGGGAGCUAUUGUUGGAGCCGGGUUUCAUCCCUCUCCAAACCCGGACCGAGAUCUCAACCCGAAUGCAUCAAAGCCCAAAAUCGAGCCCCAUCAACGUCCAAGGAGGAAAAAUAGGCUCACAAAGGUCAAGGCCCACCCCGGGCUUGAAGAGCCAAACAUACCAAGCUCGGCAAGUCAACGCAAAACAUAAAGGAAUCAAAUGCAUUAAAAACCAUCACAAAAUCACCUUAUCCACGCUAGAGAUCACUCUAAAGAUCACAACAUUGUUAUGAUCCGCCGGGAAGACCUAUAAAAGAAGAAGGAGGAUCCAAAUUCUUCCAUAGCUAAACUAUCUAUCUAUAUUAUUAAAACUAAAGUACAAAUUAGGUUUAUUUGGAAACAUGGAUGACAAUGUUAUAUGAGAACUGUUUGGAAACUUGGAUAGCAGUAUAUGUAUUUUCUUUUAUUUACACAUUUAGUCAUUGCAUUUAUAAUAAAUUACGUAUUUCUUUUUGUAUUUCUUUUUAUUUACAGAUUCUACCACUACAUUUAAAAUCAAUUUAAAUUAAUUAAUUACAAUUCUAAAACUUAUCUAAACAAAUCAAUAUUCAUAUAUUGAUCAUUAUUAAUAUCGUACAAAUAUUACUAAAUAAAAAAAUUUCUAUUUCAUUUAAUUUAGCCAAACACAUUAAAAUAAUUUUUUUAUUUGUUUACGGAAUCAGUUAGGAAUAGACAUUCGGGUGUACCCAUUUAAGUACGGGUUGUUUCUUUCGGGUAAAGAUUUUUUGGGGUUUGAAAUAUCUUUUUAGGUACUUCCUUUUUGUAUUUCUUUUUAUUUAUGGAUUCUACCACUGCAUUUAAAUUUAAUUUAAAUUAACUAAUUACAAUUCCAAAACUUAUCUAAACAAAUCGAUAUUCAUAUAUUGUUUAUUAUUAUUAAUAUUGUAAAAAUAUUACUAAAUAAAUUUUUUUCUAUUUCACUUAAUUUAGCCAAACACAUAAAUAUAUAUAUCUAUACAUAUAUUUAUUUGUUUAUGGAAUCUGUUAGGCAUAGACAUUCGGGUACCCAUUUAGGUACGGAUCAUUUUUUAGGGUAUAGAUUUUUUGGGUUUUGAAAUUAGACCAUGUUUGGAUAUAAAUUUAUGUGUGAGUUUCAAGUUGGAUCUCCCGGGUCUGUAUGAAUUUGGUUAUGAUGCACAGAAAAGUAAAAAUAUUCAAAUAACGAAUGUAUUUGAAAAUGAUUUGGAUAUUUGAACCAAAAAUAAUCAUAUUAUCCGAUUCGAUCUGGAUCUUUUGAAUACAAUUAGUUAUAUGGAGACAUAUCUAAAAUAUAUUGCACUAAUCAUGAAAAACAAAUAUUAAUGUAUAAAUACGUAAAAACUAAUACCUGCGCGGGUGCGCGGGUCAAGCUCUAGUGCUAUCUUUAUACCCACACUCCAUUGUUGUCAAGCAUCAGCUGUAAUCCUUGUUAAAUCAUCAAUAAAACAUUCAUCUUCCAAAAUUGAUCAUGGCCUAAUAUUUAUUUUUAUAGCUAACUUAUUCACAAAGUUUCCAUAAUCUUAAAUCUAUCUAUGUGCACAUUUUAGGAUUCAUAAGCACACUUGUAAUAUAAAAAAAGAAAAUUAAUGGGAUGUUGUUUUAAUAAAAAAAAUGUUCUUUUUUACAUCGAACGACUAUUCUAUUACUCAAACUUGAGGUGGUUUGGAUAACCAAACCGGAAUCAAACAAUCAAAGUAACAAAGUUCUCUAUAGAAAGAUCUCAUAGUCCUAGAUAAGAAACCAAAAUUUCAUUUUGCGUUUUUGGAAUGUGAGUGAUCUUGAAAUCUAAAAAGCAUAUUUGAAGGGUUUUUAUCACCUCCAAUUCCGUUGCAAAACUUGGCCAUUCAUGAGACUCUUUUAACUUUGCAAUCAGAUGCUUUAUAAAUGUUAAUUCAUAAUGGAAUGUUGUUUUAAUAGGAUGUUGAUUUAAUAAAUAAAAUUAAUGGGAUGUUGAUUCAUAAAAAAAAUUGCUGUUUUAAUAUGGGAAAUUUGGCCCUAUGUACACAAAAAAAAUCCAAAGUAAACUAACUAACUAAAAACACCUCUUUUCUCCUACUUUCUCUUCCUAUCUCUCUCUACUAUCUCUCUAAAAUUCUAACUUCAUUUUUUGGUUAUUUGGCAAAUAAGACAUUUUAAUAUUAUAGAUUUUUAUUUAAAAAAGGAAAAAAAAAAGAAAAAUAAUUAACAAUGAAUUCCUUCAUUUCUGGUUUGCUGUUUGCACCUUGCGAAUCGUGUGAACUAAUUCACACUUCUCAGCGUUUACAUUUUUGUCGGCCCUCUUGUCGCCAAAUAAGUCUCAACUUUCAACUCUUCUCUCCUGUCCUUACAAAGUGUAAACAUCCUUUUCUAAAAACUGACCUUUGAAAACUAAUUUCGUAUUGGGUAACCAAAAAAACCAUAGAUAUAUAAAAAUCAUAUAUAUCUCAGUAACCAAAUCCCUAUGAGACUCGUCCAUAAACAUCAAUCUCAACGAACCAUCUAUAGAAUUUUUUUUGACAAAAAUAAUUCAAAAUAAUGUACUCUUCAUCCUCUGUAUCACGCAUCAUUUUGAUCUAUGUCUCGGCCAUACAACUACUCCUUAUAAACAGCAAAUUGUCCUUAAACGUGACCAAUGAGUAUCUCAACCACACAUGCUUGGUUAGUCAAGGAAAAUACAAGUUGGGAAGUGAGUACGAUAAACUUUUUAAAAACAUCAUGAAAAUGUUCUAUAAAAACAGUAUCAGAGGUUACGACCUUUUUGGCGAUUCUACUUUUACCGCUAUCCUCCAGUGCCGCGGCGACUCCUACGGGCCCAAGUGCCGCGACUGUUUUAUCACCGCCCUCGCUGCGCUUCGUAGGAGAUGUCCAUGGUACAAGGGGAAGAUAAUAUGGUAUGACCAAUGUCUUCUUUCGAUGGAUUCCAAAUAUUCUGUUGGGCAGAUCGAUUACGACAAUAACUUUUGUAUGUCCAACGCGAAUAAGGUGGUAGAAGAUGGAGUCGCAUUUAUACAAGUUUGGAAUAUUCUCAUUGGCGAUCUGACGAAAUUAGCCACCACUGGAGAUAAUUACACACUGUACUCUGUGGGGGAGAAGCGGUACAAGGGUGAUAUGAUAUAUGGAAUGGUGCAGUGUGCGGUAGACUUAUCGCCAAAAGCUUGUCAGGAGUGUGUGUUGUAUAAUAGAUUUCAUUUUCAAAUUUGCGUGAAUGAUAUACGAGGAGCGAGAGUUGUAGGCAGGAGCUGUACUUUUAGGCUUGAGUUUUACCCUUUUAUUGCCAAGCAGGUCCGUAAUAUUUAAUAGAGCUAAAAGUAUUAAAAUAAAAUUCAGUUAAUGUAAACUUUAUUCAAUCAUAAGGUUUCUUUUUCUUCUUGCUGGACAAACUCACUUUUAUUAAAUAAAAAUUUACAAAGUUAUUACGGAAGCUACUGAUGAAUCAAAUUUUUACAUAUGCACAUAUAUAUGCCAUAUGCUCAAAGACAAUUUAAACAAAUUAAUAAAUUAUCAUACUUUAUCUCAAAGCCUUACUUGCAAAAUUAUUACUAAUCCCCUAUGAUCCUUAUCCGAAACUGAUCUUUUUAUGCAAAUGUUGUGCUUGGUGUUCUUUUCCUCGUUGAGACUUCUAAUUGCACAUUGCAUUACAAAACCAUUGAUUCCAUCAAUACUUUUGAAAAGUAGACAAGUUGAUAUCAAUCAAUUUGUAACAGUGUCUUUUUCGCAAAUAAUGAAUUUUAAUUUCUUCAACUUGAAAUCUAUAUUAUUAUUUAGGAAGUGAUUUUGCUGAUGUGUCAUAUUCUAAAUGAUUUUAGCUAAUUCGAUUAUUUGUUAUGUUCUAAAUAAUUUUAAUUAAUGAUUUUGCUUAUUUGUUACUUUUAAUGAAUAGUGAUAUAUAAUUAACAACAAAUUUUAUAUUUCAUAUUAACAACAUAAUAAUACUGUAUCAACUAACCAAGUUAAAAAAAGUCUAGCCGUUCAUGAAUAUUGCCAGGUUAUAUAACCAAUUAAUAUCUUUGUUCACACGAGUUUAAAACUUCUCCAUCGUCUAAAUUUUUUUUAUUUCUUGGUUAUAUGUAGGUUUUUUAUUUUCCAACUUACUUUUUCCUUCUUUGUUUAUUAUUUUGUGCAGACCUAAAAGUUCAGAAUCAAAUGAUUAGGAAAGAAUACAAUUUAGAAUGAUUAUUUAUGUUCCAUAAGCCAUAGCCAUAACAAGUUUUUAUUUCUGUCGUUUGGUACUUGAAGGAAUCCUAAAUCUACUGUGGUUGUUUGUAGUAUUUGAUAUGAACCUUAAUUUAUGAUUUUAUCAUUUUCUAUGUAUCGCAGCCAUAGUCGUAUAUGUCACUUUAAUUUUGAUCCUGGAGCAUUGACAGACAGCUUCCUUUGAGUAAAAUAGCUUCUGUCUUGGCAAACGACACAUGAGAAUUUCAUGUUUCCUUGCACAGUCUUCCCUCACCAGCUACCUUGUUAAGCUAACAGUGGACGCCAUUGACUCCUCUGGAACCAAAAUUGUUCAAUCAGUAGCUGAAGAAACUGAAACUCCUAUGAGUUGUCAUGAUGUACCAGAAACACUAUUGAUGAAUGAUCACUCACUGCUGUGUUGAAUGUGAAACAAGCAGUUGUUUAUCUUCGUCAAGUGUUCAUGAUGCAUUCAUUCCAGCAGAAAAAACUUUCUGAGUUUGGUGGCAGGCUGGCAGCAAUAUAUGUUUCUUUUGCGGCUGGAAGCCAUGACACAGUAAUGGUGUUCUUUAUACCAAUGCAGUUCAAACCAGAAAAAGAUAUUGUGGUUGGAAGAAGAGAAAUGAGUUUUUUCAAUCCUACAAAGAAUCGUUAAGAUUCAGAUUUGAAUAAUAAUUUCCUUAAAGCAAACUGAAGGUGUUAAAAUUAGUUUUAUUUUUCUUUUGUUUCACGGCUGCAUUUUACUGAUUACCUUUUUAGGUUCAUGUAAGAGGACAUCAAGUCUACAAACAAUACUAAUCCAUUUUUUGGCAUGGUGCGGACAAAAAGAAAAAGUCCAUAAUUUGGUUGGUAAUAUUACUUAAGAAAAUCACCUUGUGACGAAGGCGUAAAAGUAGUGACCUACUCGCUUUCAAACGCAGUACAAUCACCAAAGCAUCGAAACAUUACUUAUCCUCGAUAGAAACAUAUAGUUGAAACUUGUGAGUUUCACUUUGUGAAUAGCAUGCUUCUUCUAGCUCAACUAUGAACAAUAACAACAACAAUUAUCUAAUCAAAACUGAUACUCUUUUGGAUGAAGACACUUUCAUGUCUCUUGCAUUUGAAUGAUGACCCACUGCAUUGGUGAAAAAUUGUACAUGGAAAAAUUCAUAUGGUACAAUCGUCACAUCAGAAUGCAAUUAACAUUGAUGUUAUGAUGAGGAUGAGGUGUUGAGUUUGAUGAGGAUGCAAAGAUUCGAUUGGAAGAGGACUUAUGAAUUUGAGGAGGUACGAUCUCUACAGAGAUGUGUGAUCGCUUCACUGAGUUGGAUUUGGGAGAUACAAUUGGGUCUCUUAUUAAAUUCAUAACCUCCAUGGUUAUGAGUUUAUCAAAGAAGAAAGUAGGAGAUUUUCGAUCGGAUUCAAUUGGUUACUAUUAGAUUUGUGGACAAAAUCUACAGAAUCGGAGGGGGGAAAUAGAAGUAACGGAGGAUUCUAUGUUUGACCUUGGAACGUCCAGGAUAAUCAUCAUCUCCACUAAAGGGGCCUUUACCCCUUAUGGGUCCUCUGUAACAUUUAGGCCUCUGGAAAAGGUCGGAUUGUGUAAUAAAAUACAAGCUCAUGGUCUAUACUCAUGGAAGUUUCUUCGGGUUAAGAAACUUUUUACAUGUCUCAGUCUAUUUCUAGUCCCAAGGGAGCAAUCGGUAACAUUAAUUUAUUAGAAUAAUGCUGUUAAGAAAACAAAAAAUGGCAUUAUUUCAUCAGACUGUAAGCUUCGCGAUGAGGAAAAGAAUGCUCAGGGCUUAAGUAAUCACUAGACUUUGACCGUCUUUUUCAAUGGCGGGUAUAUUUUUUGUUUUAAUUUUUAUUAUUUAAAUAAAUUUAAUUAUUUUAAUUUUUAUUAUUUCAAAAAAUUUAAUUUUUAUAUAUGUGUUUAAUAUUAAUUAAAUUUAAUAUAACUUUUGCAAACUAUAUCGAAUAUGUCAAAGCUGUAUUUCUGUACUUUUACCGAUUUGACAAAUCUCCACGACACAUCUCAGCUGAACGCAUAAGAAGUUGCAGAUGUUGUUGUUCAUAAAAUGGGUUUCAUAAUUUGUACACUGUUUUUGUUAUUCAAACACGAUCCUUUAAAAAAUGUGUAAAGUAAAAUAUAAAUCUAACUGCUUUGUGCAACUGUAUAACAUAAAGAAAAGUAAGUAUAAAUCAAAAAGUAACUGCCGAGUCUAGAGAAGGAUUAUAUCUUUUUUAUUAAAUAGAUAGAUUUAGAUACAAAUCUAAAUUACUGUCUUAAUAAUAUUGAUUAGGUUUGAUUUCUGAAAAAAAAUUACUGUCCAUCAAAUUGUUAAGAAAAAAAUAAUAUUUUUAUAGCUAUUUUUUUUUUUAAAAAUAGAAGCAGUUACAAAACCGACAGCCAAUACACAAAAAUUUGAGCCACUGCGCAAGGUUAACUUUACAAAACUUUACAUAACCGACCACAAAGUUUAACACAAAAACAAAUUCUUAAUAAAAAAUUGCGUAAUGGUUAGGCAAAUAAUAAGUAUUUGCGGUUAGAGUUAGUAUAUAAUUAGAAGCAGUUAUGAAAAAAUCAGUUUUUCUUUUUAAAGAUAGGUCCAGUGGCAUUUUAAGUAAUAUACCAGGUAGAGGUAAGGACAGAAAAUAAGAGUGAUCCUGUUUUAAUAAUAGUUACUAGAUUUUGACCCGCGCUUUCAAAGCGCGGGUUUAUUUUUGUUUUUUUUUUUCAAUUGACAAAUAUUUAGUAAAUGUCACAUUUUCAUAUAUUUGUGUUUUAUUUUAUAAAAGGCUUAAAAUUUUUAUCUUUAUUUAUC